CGGCCACAUUGGGACUGAGAUACGGCCCAGACUCCUACGGGAGGCAGCAGUAGGGAAUUUUGCGCAAUGGACGAAAGUCUGACGCAGCGACGCCGCGUGAGCGAUGAAGGCCUUCGGGUCGUAAAGCUCUGUUGAGUGGGAAGAAAAAGUCUAUGGCUAAUAUCCAUAGGCCCUGACGGUACCAUUCGAGGAAGCCCCGGCUAACUACGUGCCAGCAGCCGCGGUAAUACGUAGGGGGCAAGCGUUGUUCGGAAUCACUGGGCGUAAAGGGAGUGUAGGCGGAAUGAUAAGUUGGGAGUUAAAUUCACAGGCUCAACCUGUGGUCUGCUUUCAAUACUGUCAUUCUUGAGUAUGGGAGAGGGUAACGGAAUUCCAGGUGUAGCGGUGGAAUGCGUAGAUAUCUGGAAGAACACCGGUUGCGAAGGCGGUUACCUGGCCCAAUACUGACGCUGAGGCUCGAAAGUGUGGGGAGCAAACAGGAUUAGAUACCCUGGUAGUCCACACCGUAAACGAUGGAUACUAGUUGCUGGGAGAGUCAAUCCUUUCGGCGACGAAGCUAACGCAUUAAGAAUCCCGCCUGGGGAGUACGCUCGCAAGGGUGAAACUCAAAGGAAUUGACGGGGGCCCGCACAAGCGGUGGAGCAUGUGCUUUAAUUCGAUGCAACGCGAAGAACCUUACCUGGGUUUGACAUGGGAAUGAAAGUUUCUAGAGAUAGAAGCCUUUCCUUCGGGAACAUUCUACACAGGUGCUGCAUGGUUGUCGUCAGCUCGUGUCGUGAGAUGUUGGGUUAAGUCCCGCAACGAGCGCAACCCCUGUCCUUAGUUGCCAUCAGGUAAUGCUGGGAACUCUAAGGAGACUGCUUGGAUUAACCAAGAGGAAGGUGGGGGUGACGUCAAAUCCUCAUGGCCCUUACGCCCAGGGCUAGACACGUGCUACAAUGGCCGGUACAACGGGCUGCAAGCCAGCGAUGGUUAGCUAAUCCCUUAAAACCGGUCUCAGUUCGGAUUGGAGUCUGCAACUCGACUCCAUGAAGGUGGAAUCGCUAGUAAUCGCGGAUCAGCAUGCCGCGGUGAAUACGUUCCCGGGCCUUGUACACACCGCCCGUCAAGCCAUGAAAGACGGUAGUGCCCGAAGUCGUUCCUCUAACCGCAAGGAAGAGUGCGCCGAAGGUAAGACUGUUAAUUGGGGCUAAGUCGUAACAAGGUA
rnacentral:rRNA from 1 species